GUGGGGAAUAUUGGGCAAUGGGCGGAAGCCUGACCCAGCGACGCCGCGUGGGGGAAGAAGUCUUUCGGGAUGUAAACCCUUGUUGUACGGGACGAAGGAAGUGACGGUACCGUACGAGGAAGCCCCGGCAAACUACGUGCCAGCAGCCGCGGUAAUACGUAGGGGGCGAGCGUUGUCCGGAAUCACUGGGCGUAAAGCGCACGUAGGCGGGCUGUCAAGUCGGCCGUGAAAGGCACGGGCUCAACCUGUGCAUGUCGGUCGAUACUGGCGGUCUGGAGUAUGGGAGAGGGAACUGGAAUUCCCGGUGUAGCGGUGAAAUGCGUAGAUAUACGGAGGAACACCAGUGGCGAAGGCGGAUUACUGGACGAUAACUGACGCUGAGGCGCGAAAGCGUGGGGAGCAAACAGGAUUAGAAACCCCGGUAGUCC
rnacentral:rRNA from 1 species